GGGGAGCCCUGAUGCAGCCAUGCCGUGUGUGUGAAGAAGGCCUUUUGGUUGUAAAGCACUUUACGCGAGGAGGAGGCUACCUAGAUUAAUACUUUAGGAUAGUGGACGUUACUCGCAGAAUAAGCACCGGCUAACUCUGUGCCAGCAGCUGCGGUAAUACAGAGGGUGCGAGCGUUAAUCGGAUUUACUGGGCGUAAAGCGUGCGUACGCGGCCAAUUAAGUCAAAUGUGAAAUCCCCGAGCUUAACUUGGGAAUUGCAUUCGAUACUGGUUGGCUAGAGUAUGGGAGAGGAUGGUAGAAUUCCAGGUGUAGCGGUGAAAUGCGUAGAGAUCUGGAGGAAUACCGAUGGCGAAGGCAGCCAUCUGGCCUAAUACUGACGCUGAGGUACGAAAGCAUGGGGAGCAACCAGGAUUAGAUACCCUGGUAGUCCAUGCGGUAAACGAUGUCUACUAGCCGUUGGGGCCCUUGAGGCUUUAGUGGCGCAGCUCACGCGAUAAGUAGACCGCCUGGGGAGUACGGUCGCAAGACUAAAACUCAAAUGAAUUGACGGGGGCCCGCACAAGCGGUGGAGCAUGUGGUUUAAUUCGAUGCAACGCGAAGAACCUUACCUGGCCGUGACAUACAGAGAACUUUCCAGAGAUGGAUUGGUGCCUUCGGGAACUCUGAUACAGGUGGUGCAUGGCUGUCGUCAGCUCGUGUCGUGAGAUGUUGGGUUAAGUCCCGCAACGAGCGCAGCCCUUUUCGUUAUUUGCCAGCACUUCGGGUGGGAACUUUAAGGAUUGGGGACGACGUCAAGUCAUCAUGCCCCUUAUGUCC
rnacentral:rRNA from 1 species